rnacentral:rRNA from 1 species
CGUGAGUGAAGAAGGCUUUCGGGUCGUAAAGCUCUGUCAGAUAGGAAAAAAGUUCAUUAGUUAAUAGCUUGUGAAUCUGAUGGUACUAUCAGAGGAAGCACCGGCUAACUCCGUGCCAGCAGCCGCGGUAAUACGGAGGGUGCAAGCGUUGUUCGGAAUUACUGGGCGUAAAGAGCGUGUAGGCGGUAUGGUAAGUCAGAUGUGAAAGCCCUGGGCUUAACCUAGGAAGUGCAUUUGAUACUGCCAUUCUUGAGUAUGGGAGAGGAGAGUGGAAUUCCCAGUGUAGAGGUGAAAUUCGUAGAUAUUGGGAGGAACAUCCGUGGCGAAGGCGACUCUCUGGACCAAUACUGACGCUGAGACGCGAAAGCGUGGGUAGCAAACAGGAUUAGAUACCCUGGUAGUCCACGCCGUAAACGAUGAGAACUAGGUGUAGCGGGUAUUGACCCCUGCUGUGCCGAAGUUAACGCAUUAA